rnacentral:pre_miRNA from 1 species
CGACACUGUAGAAACAGUAAAAAUUGAGUCUAUUUAAAGGAGUCCUCGUUCCCUUUGUGAGGUACCCUUUCAGAUAGUCUCAAAACCAGGUUUUAGAGAGAGAAGCUCUGCCUAGGAAAAACUCUUUGUAAGCUUCUAUGCCCAUAUCAAU